GAUGAACGCUGGCGGCAGGCUUAACACAUGCAAGUCGAGCGCCCCGCAAGGGGAGCGGCAGACGGGUGAGUAACGCGUGGGAAUGUACCCUUUGCUACGGAACAGCUCCGGGAAACUGGAAUUAAUACCGUAUGUGCCCUUCGGGGGGAAAAGAUUUAUCGGCAAAGGAUCAGCCCGCGUUGGAUUAGCUAGUUGGUGGG
rnacentral:rRNA from 1 species